UUAAGUCCCGCAACGAGCGCAACCCUUAUCUUUAAUUGCCAGCAUUCAGUUGGGCACUUUAAAGAGACUGCCGGUGUUAAACCGGAGGAAGGUGGGGAUGACGUCAAGUCCUCAUGGCCUUUAUGCUUAGGGCUACACACGUGCUACAAUGGGUGGUACAAAGAGAAGCCAACUCGCGAGAGCGCGCCAAUCUCAAAAAGCCAUCCUCAGUUCGGAUUGGAGUCUGCAACUCGACUCCAUGAAGUUGGAAUCGCUAGUAAUCGCGGAUCAGCAUGCCGCGGUCGAAUACGUUCCCGGGCCUU
rnacentral:rRNA from 1 species